rnacentral:tRNA from 1 species
GAGAUUAUAGUUAAUUAUAACAUUUAAUUUGCAAUUAAAAAUUAUCUUUUGGAUUUUUCUCA